UGCUAUUACAUUUUGAUCACGGCCCCGUGCUGCCGUUUGAGUUAUUUUAUUUUGUUUACUUUAUUUGUGUUUAAAACUUAUUUUGGUCUACAAAGACAUUAUUACCACAAAUAAAUAAUAUUGAGUAAAAAUUGGCAUUUCUGGUAAAUACUUCAUUUAUCUUCUUGGACAUCACAAAAUACGAAGGUUUAGAGGUGAAUUUAUUUCAUGAAUUUCAUUUACAAAAUAUAUAAAUAAAUAUAUCUUACAGUAUAAAUAUUAUAUUUUUGAACACGUGAAGAGGUCCUUCAGACUAUUAUGUUAGCAAAAUUGUCAUCAGUUACAAAAGCACAGGUAUGAAAACCAACGGAAGCGCUGAUUCUGAAUGGACUGUUAAGCUGAUGAAAAAAAGAAGAAAACGAAUAUAAAUAAAAAUUCUAAAAAAAUGUUUCAUUCAUUUUUUUUAUAAUUUGAAAAUUUCAAUCAUUAUAACAAAUAGUCAUAAAAUUGUAUUCCUUUUAAUGAUUAAAGUUUAUUAAGGCAGUGUAAAACAGAAUAAUUAUA